rnacentral:rRNA from 1 species
UCUGGUGAUGAUAGCGGAGAAGCAACACCUGUUCCCAUUCCGAACACAGAAGUGAAGAGCUCCAGCGCCGAUGGUACUUGGGGGGUUACCCCCUGGGAGAGUAGGUCGUCGCCAGGU